UGUUGGUCCGCCAUUUCGUGGACGCCGGAUCGGGGAGAGUAUCUGCUGGAGCCAGGCGGGAGGGGAGUGGGAAGAGACAGCCGCGGGUGCGUGGAUUUGAGUCUUCGCAUUUCUAAUCUAAGAUCUCGAAAUGCAUCGUGAUUCCUGUCCAUUGGACUGUAAAGUUUAUGUAGGUAAUCUGGGAAACAAUGGUAACAAGACUGAAUUGGAACGAGCUUUUGGCUAUUAUGGACCACUCCGAAGUGUAUGGGUUGCUAGAAAUCCUCCUGGCUUUGCUUUUGUUGAAUUUGAAGAUCCCCGAGAUGCAGCUGAUGCUGUCCGAGAGCUAGAUGGGAGAACGCUGUGUGGCUGCCGAGUAAGAGUGGAACUCUCUAAUGGUGAAAAGAGAAGUAGAAAUCGUGGCCCACCUCCUUCUUGGGGUCGUCGCCCUCGAGAUGAUUAUCGGAGAAGGAGUCCUCCACCUCGCCGCAGAGUCACCAUCAUGUCUCUUCUCACCACCCUCUGAAUCUGCAUUAGCCAGUCAACUAGCCCUUUCAGCGUCAUGUGACCAGCGCGCCCCAUUCAGCUUGGCUGGUGUCGUUUCACAUGACCCAGGCAUGGCCAGUCGUCAGGUUGCACCGCCCUUUGGUUCCCGAGCAUGCUGUUUUCUCUCAGCCUUCUCUCCAACCUUAACCAAAUCGGCAGCAGCCACCUCGACCGCCCACACAUUCCUGGCCAAUCAGCUCAGCUGUUUAUUUACCAAAUGUCUUCACAACAACUACAGCAGCAGCCUUCGGCUAACAAAAAAGCAGGAAAAAUCCACAACACCCCCUUCGCCAACCAACUAAAUCCAACGCAACAUCUGGCAAAACCUUUUCAGCAAAUUCUUCCUGGCCGUCAGUCCGGCAGCCUCACCUCACCAUUUCUAGCUUGUUGAAACCCAAAAACUAAUCUCCAAGACGGAGAAGCUUCUCCCGUAGCCGGAGCAGGUCCCUUUCUAGAGAUAGGAGAAGAGAGAGAUCACUUUCUCGGGAGAGAAAUCACAAGCCGUCCCGUUCUUUCUCUAGGUCUCGUAGCCGAUCCAGGUCAAAUGAAAGGAAAUAGAAAACCAGUUUGCAAGAGGAGUGGUGUACAGCAAAUAACUUCAUUUGACAGGAGUAUGUACAGAAAAUUCAAGUUUUGUUUGAGACUUCAUAAGCUUGGUGCAUUUUUAAGAUGUUUUAGCUGUUCACAUUUGUUUGUCUCUUGGCAACAAAAGUAAAGAUGUAAUUUUUACACAUAAAGAUGUAAUUCUCUAUGGUUUGAAAUGAAUCAUAUGAGGCAUGUAAUACCAAGAAUUGUUACUUUACAAUGUUCCCUUAAGCAAAAUUGAAUUUGAUUUUUUUUUUUUAAGUCUUGCAUAGAUUGAUAAUAAACCUCUAACUCCUGCCCAGCUAAACUGUGAUGUUCAAUAUUACUGAAGCAAAACCGGCAAAAAUUUGAGAAGACUUUCCAUAGCUGGAAUAUGGUGUGCAGUUGUAGUUGAGCAAGCAGUCUUUAAAAGCUGCUAUGAAUGCAAACCAGCAGGUAAAAGUUAAAGCUGCAUCAUUAAACUACUAGAUUAGAGGUUUAAAAAUCCCACUAGUCUUCAUAAUGGACAGGAUAUUGUCCAGUUGUAUAGAAUCUAAGAAGUUUCAGGAAAAUUAGUUUACUUUUGCUUUAGGUCAUAAGUUCCUUCUGUGAUUGCUAUAUAUGAAUACAUAGCUCUUUGUAACAUUCUUUAUUUGAAAAUUGGAGACUAUUCAAGAUACAUUCUGAUGUUCUACCAGUUUAAGGGUACAUUGUAGAGCUGAACUUUGAGUUACUGUGCAAGAUUUUUUUUCAUGCUGUCAUUUGUAAUAUGUUUUGUGAGAAUCCUUGGGAUUAAAGUUUUGGUUACAAAUUGUUGUUUAACCUGAAAGCCUGUUUUUCCUUGCAAAACUAAAAUCUGUGAGCUUGGUACCAAGUCCAGGUAUAACAUUCCUAUUGGAAGCCAUACUUAUAUUUUCUUGUAAAGUGCUUUUGACAAUAAAAUAUUAGCAUAAUUGUGUAAUAGUCGAACCCACUGUUACCAUAGUUCUUGUCCCAUAGAAGGCAGUUGGUUACACAAAUCUUAACUCUGUAAGCACAGUUGAGGCUUUUGAAAUGAAAGGAAUUGUGUCCACCUAAGUGAUAAAACUUAAAUUUUUAGGCGUAGAAGCCAGUUCAAAAAGUCCAUGAUACUCAGUGACCAACAUUUUAAAGUAUAGCCACCUGAUACAUUAUAAUCCAAAGUUGCCCUUUAAAAGGGGCUUUUAUCAUUAGCAUGAAAACUUUAACACAGAGCUUUAAAAAUUGCUUCCAUUUUAUAUAAUUUGAGGUGUUGCAUGGGAAUUCUAAAUUGGUCCGUCAUGAUGUAAAAUCCACUAUAUGGUUAAAAUGUAACAGUACAGAGUUGCAUACGGAGGCAUGCAUAACUUUCCUCUUAGAAAUCUAGAGGAGUUGUAACUUCAAAUUUUUGUGCAAUUAGAUUAAAUCAUAAUACAACAGUCUUGUGGCUUAGUUUCCUUAAAUGUGCUAUUUAAAGACAGUUUUGGAUUAUGCUGUACUGACUUUAAUGUGAAAGAUAAGUCAUUAAUCUGUAAGGAUAUUUUAUAAGAUACAAAUCCUAAACACUAUUUCCAGUGGUCCUUCUUAACCUUUCAUGCAAAUAAUCAAGGGAGGAGAGUCUUUUGGUGUUGGUGAAGUUCAGUAUGAGCCUUGUUAUAGAAGAUAUUGUUAAGGCUGCCUGGUGAUUUAUUGGAGCUCAGAUUUAGGGCCUUUUGUCAUUUCAUAGCUUAAAAGCUUUUGUUAUGAACAAAGCAAGAUAGCCAAAAAUUCAUGGAAGUAAUAAGGUAUAUUAAUUACACUGCUCUUAAAUUUAUAUGGGCAUUUUUGGCAGCAUAUAACUUGAAGAGACUUAAAUUGGAAGGGUUUCUGUAAAAAAUUAUGGCAAAAUGUGGCUGAUACAUAAAGUUAACCUCAGGGAGUUACCUUUAGGAUCCAAAUUUGUAAUCACUUUAACCAGAAGCCCUAACACAAAUUUAUGGCUUGUUAAAAAUACGGAAGAUAGAAAUUGUUAAAACCGCAUUCUACAUUUAGAUUGCGGCUGUUCACUAGUUUCUGAAAUUGUAAGUCCCAUUUGUCAGUCUGUCUUGCAUCAUCAGUUGAUGAUACUGAAAACAGUCAUAAAAACUUUGACUUGUGUAUGAUUACAAAUGUUUGCUUACUAAUAUUUGGUGAUAAUUCAAGGAACAUACCUAGGGAUAAGUUGUUUUUUAUGCUUACAGAAAUAUUUAACACUGAUUCUCAGUUCAUUGUGGAUUACUUACCUCCAUGUCUUAAGCAGAAAGAUAAAAACAAAGAUAUAUUAGCUGGAGAAAUUUUUUUUUAAUUUUACAAGAUUUAGAUACCUUUUGUCUACUGUUUCUAUACUUUUUAUAGUUUCUUAAAAAAGAUCAUGUGAUCAGUAGAUGGCAUCUCCAGGUUUUUUCACCCAUGUAUGGAUAGAUAGGAAGCUCUGGUUGCUUUUUGUUGUAGAGUCAUGGUUCAUGUUCUUACAGUGCUGCUUUAUCAGGAAUGGUGUUAAUCAUAGCAAUUUCCAAAAUAACACACAUCUGAUUCCAGACCCACUGACUCAUAUUUCCAUUCCUGGUUACAUAAGAACCACUGGUUUAGAAUUUUGUCUUAAUGUGCUUUUAUUUUCAGAAUCCUGAACAUGAUUUAGUUGUCAGAUCUAGUUGGUGGUAAUGUCUUCCAGGUUGUAUAUUUUUGUACUAGACUGCUGCCUUCUGGUUUCCUCUUUUUCUUUUAAGAAUAUGAAAGAUUUUUGUAAUUAAAGUAGCUGAAGAAAAACUGGGUUGGAGUAUAUUUUUACCAAAAUCUGAUAGUGUUGAAUUAAAUUUUAUGUCCACAAAA